CCUACGGGUGGCUGCAGUCGAGAAUCAUUCACAAUGGGGGAAACCCUGAUGGGGCGACGCCGCGUGGGGGAAGGAAGGUCUGCGGAUUGUAAACCCCUGUCAUGUGGGAGCAAAUUAAAAAGAUAGUACCACAAGAUGAAGAGACGGCUAACUCUGAGCCAGCAGCCGCGGUAAUACAGAGGUCUCAAGCGUUGUUCGGAAUAACUGGGCGUAACGAGUGCGUAGGCUGUGUCGUACGUCGUGGGUGAAAGGCGCGGGCUCAACCCGCGGACGGCACAUGAUACUGCGAGACUAGAGUAAUGGAGUGGGAACCGGAAUUCUCGGUGUAGCGGUGAAAUGCGUAGCUAUCG
rnacentral:rRNA from 1 species